rnacentral:rRNA from 1 species
GACGAACGCUGGCGGCGUGCUUAACACAUGCAAGUCGAACGGAAAGGCCCUGCUUGUGUGGGGUGCUCGAGUGGCGAACGGGUGAGUAACACGUGAGUAACCUGCCCUUGACUUUGGGAUAACUUCAGGAAACUGGGGCUAAUACCGGAUAGGAGCGCCUGCUGCAUGGUGGGGGUUGGAAAGUUUCGGCGGUUGGGGAUGGACGCGCGGCUUAUCAGCUGGUGGGUGGGGUAGUGGCUUACCAAGGCGUUGACGGGUGGCCGGCCUGGGAGGGUGACCGGCCACAUUGGGACUGAGGUACGGCCCAGACUCCUACGGGAGGCAGCAGUGGGGAAUAUUGCACAAUGGGCGGAAGCCUGAUGCAGCAACGCCGCGUGCGGGAUGACGGCCUUCGGGUUGUAAACCGCUUUCGCCUGUGACGAAGCGUGAGUGACGGUAAUGGGUAAAGAAGCACCGGCUAACUACGUG